rnacentral:rRNA from 1 species
UACGUAGGUGGCAAGCGUUGUCCGGAUUUACUGGGCGUAAAGAGCGCGCAGGCGGUCGAUCAAGUCGCGUGUGAAAGCCCCCGGCUCAACUGGGGAGGGUCAUUCGAAACUGUCCAACUCGAAGGCAGGAGAGGGAAGCGGAAUUCCCGGUGUAGUGGUGAAAUGCGUAGAUAUCGAGAGGAACACCUGCGGCGAAGGCGGGUCUCUGGGCCACUACUGACGCUGAGAAGCGAAAGCGUGGGGAGCGAACAGG